AUAUUUACCUGGCAGGGGAGAUACCGUGAUCAAGAAGGUGGUUCACCCAGGACGAGCCUCAGCCAUUGCACUCAGGUUGUGCUGACCCCUGCAAAUUCCCCAAAUGUGGGAAUCUCGACUGCAUAAUUUCUGGUAGUGGGAGACUGCGUUCACGCUCUCCUC
rnacentral:snRNA from 1 species